UACGUAGGGUGCGAGCGUUGUCCGGAAUUACUGGGCGUAAAGGGCUCGUAGGCGGUUUGUCGCGUCGGGAGUGAAAACUCAGGGCUUAACCCUGAGCCUGCUUCCGAUACGGGCAGACUAGAGGUAUGCAGGGGAGAAUGGAAUUCCUGGUGUAGCGGCGAAAUGCGCAGAUAUCAGGAGGAACACCGGUGGCGAAGGCGGUUCUCUGGGCCGUAACUGACGCUGAGGAGCGAAAGCGUGGGGAGCGAACAGG
rnacentral:rRNA from 1 species